rnacentral:tRNA from 1 species
GAGGGUAUAGCUCAGAGGUUGAACAUGUGCUUAGCAUCCACAAAGUCUUGGGUUCAAUCCCCAGUACCUCCA